UGGUAGAGCAGUGUCCAAGCCAGCCAGGGGUAGGUCGAUGGAAGCAGCACCACAAAGGCAGAUUGAGUCCGUGGCUGCAGGAGGAGAACGCUAGUAAUUAAAAAGAUACUGGGUCUGGUCUGUAUACAGGGUCUGGUCUGUAUGUUGUCCAGGCUGGUCUCCAACUCCUGGCCUCAAGCCAUCCUCCCAUCUCGGCCUCCCAAAGCACUGGGAUUACAGGUAAACCGUGCUUGGACCACAGGUGUUUUAUGUUUAUCAACACCAUCGACGAUGAGACAUUUGAUGAGGAACUACCAGAAUAAUGUCUGCGGUGCUAUGGUGUCCACAGAAACUUCAGAGGAAGGCCCUCAGGAGCAAGCUGCCUCCGCAGAUAAAGCAGUGGUGAUGGUAGAGCAUCCUCCAGGGUCCCACUCUGGGACUCAUGGACCCUCCAAGGUCAUCUGUGUGCUCUUGAUAUAUGAGCCUGGGCUGGGCAUGAUGGCUCACAUCUAUAAUCCCAGCACUUUGAGAGGCCAAGGCAGGUGGAUUGCUUGAGACCAGGAGUUCAAGACCAGCCUGGCCAACAUGGUGAAACUCCCCUCUCUACUAAAAAUACAAAAAUUAGUUGUGCGUGGUGGUGCAUGCCUGUGAUCCCAGCUACUCAGGAGGCUGAGACACAAGAAUUGUUUGAACCCAGGAGGCAGAGGUUGCAGUGAGCCAAGAUCACACCAUUGCACCCCAGCCCGGGAAACAUGUCAGUAUGUCACCUUCAGGAUAUGGCCUGGGGAGUUCAUCCAAUGAGGGCUCAAAAGGCAAGGACAGGUAGGAAAAACAGAGAAACAAUACUAGGGACACCUAAUACGUGGCCUUGAAAUCUUUGAGACAAGAGUUGAGGAUGCAAUAUGGCAAAAUGUGAACCUGUGGAGUGCAAUGCCAGUGAAUACUCCCAGAAGAGUGGUUUUCAACCUGGGGUGAUUUUGCCCUUCUCUCCCUACUUCCCAGGGGACAUGAGACAAGACAGUUUUGGUCAUCACACUGAAAUAAGGGGCUGCUGUGUCUACUGGGUAGAGGCCAGGGAAUCUGCAGAAAAUCCUACAAUCCACAGGACAGCCCUCCAUUGCAAAGAAUCAUCCAGUCCAAAAUGUCUAUAGCACUCAGGUAGAGAAAUUCUGCUCUAGAACAACUGGAAGGGAUGACACGAAACCAUUUCCUCCUCAGUGAGGGAAGGGUGAAAGAAAAGAGAUUUUAAUAUGGAUGGUUACAGAAGAGGCCCAAAGAAAAAGACUGCCCUAGCAGGCGCGGUGCCUCACACCUGUAAUCCCAGCACUUUGGAAGGCCGAGCUGGGUGGAUCACCUGAAGUCAGGAGUUUGAGACCAGCCUGGCCAACAUGGUGAAACCCCAUCUCUACUGAAAAUACAAAACUUACCCAGCUGUGGUGGCACAUGCCUGUAAUCCCAGCUACUUACAGGGAUGGCUGAAGCAGGAGAAUAGCAUGAACUCGGGAGGUGGAGGUUGCAGUGAGCUGAGAUUGCACCACUGCACUCCAGCCUGGUGACAGAGCAAGGCUCUGUCUAAAAAUAGAUAAAUAAAUAAAUAAAUAAUAAUAAUGCGCUUUGCCUU
rnacentral:lncRNA from 13 species